ACUGUGUUUAAGAGGCGAUAAAAAGGUGAAUUAUCCAUUUUUAUUUAUUUUUUUGAAUAUUUAAUUUUUUUGCGGCUACUUAAGGUCAAGUGGGGAGGCGUGCGAGGCAGGAAGCUACUUCCGGGUUUGAGUAAACAUUGACGCAAUGUGGCCCCCCCUCUUGGCACCUGGUCUUCUUCUCUUGGUGCUAUGGAGGGGCGUCGGAGGGGAAGACAAGAGGCCCAACUUUGUCCUCAUCAUGGUGGAUGACAUGGGAAUUGGGGAUGUGGGUUGCUACGGUAACGACACCAUCAGGACCCCCAACAUAGACCGGCUGGCCUCGGAGGGGGUGAAGCUGACUCAGCACAUUGCAGCCGCCCCUCUGUGCACGCCCAGCCGAGCCGCCUUCAUGACGGGACGCUAUGCUACCCGCUCAGGAAUGGCAGGAUCUGGCCGGUCCCAGGUGCUGUUCUUCGUCGCAGGUUCAGGCGGACUGCCACCCAGUGAGACCACCUUUGCUAAGAGGCUCCAGCAACAAGGGUACACCACGGCUUUAGUUGGUAAAUGGCACUUAGGUGUCAACUGUGAGCACAGAAGAGAUCACUGUCACCACCCUAACCAACACGGCUUCAGCUACUUCUACGGCAUGCCUUACACCCUGAUCAACGACUGUGUUCCGGGCAUGGGAAGGGAGAUAUUCGCUGACCUUCAGCAGACACUCAAAAGUCUGUUCCUGUUUCUGGCGAUUGGACUUUUCACACUGGUGUUUAUUCGUGCUUGCGGCCUUUUCGACAUCAGCCCACGGCUCUUGACGGCGCUCUUCACGUUCGGCGUCCUGGCGACUCUCGUGUGGUACGUGCCCUUUGAACUCCUGCCCCGAUGGAACUGCAUCGUCAUGAGGAACCAGGAGGUGGUGGAGCAGCCGAUGAGGGUGGAGACGUUUCCCUUUAGGAUGCUGACAGAAGCCCAGCAGUUCGUGAAGAGGAACGCUCAUCACCCGUUCCUUCUGUUUUUCUCACUGGCUCAUAUGCACUCUCCGCUCUUCAACACGCCUGCAUUUGCUGGCAAAAGCCGCCACGGUCGCUAUGGUGACAACAUGGAAGAGUUGGACUGGAUCGUUGGGGAACUAACAGAGACUGUGGAUUCACUGGGCCUGGCCAACGACACUCUGAUCUAUUUCACCUCAGACCACGGUGGAUACCUUGAGGAUUCCCAUCCUCUGAUUGGCCAGCGAGGAGGAUGGAACGGCGUCUAUCGAGGUGGAAAAGGAAUGGGGGGCUGGGAAGGCGGCAUCAGAGUUCCUGGUAUUUUCCGCUGGCCCAGCAGACUGGCAGCUGGAAGAGUGGUGGACGAGCCCACCAGCCUGAUGGAUCUGUACCCCACACUCAAGUAUCUCGCCCAGGACACCGGAUCAGACAGGCACUUGGACGGUCACAACCUUAUGCCGCUGUUGGAGGGGAAGGUCGGUCGGUCUGAGCACGAGUUCAUGUUCCACUACUGUGGCAGUUACCUGAACGCAGCACGCUGGCACCCUCCUGGCAGUGACUCCAUCUUCAAGGUGCACUUUUUCACCCCAAACUUUUCCCCCCCGGGAGCCGUCGGUUGCUACGACAUCUUCCUCUGCCAGUGUUUCGGAGACCACGUGACUCAUCGCGACCCGCCGUUGAUCUACGACCUCUUCCGCGACCCUUCGGAGUCGCGCCCGCUCACUCCCGAAACGGAGCCGCGCUACGCCGAGGUCCUCCGUCAGACCGCCAAGGCCGUGGAGAGGCACCGGCGCUCCGAACAGAACGCUCCGACCCAGAUGACCUGGGAGAAGAUCCUGUGGAGGCCCUGGCUUCAGUCCUGCUGUGGAACAUUCCCGUUCUGCGGCUGCAAAGAAGACACCAAGUUAGUGGGAAACAAAAUUUGACAAUUUAAACGAAUUUCAAUUUCAUUAGGACUAAACUAAACCGGCCGUAUUGGCAUGUGUUGCAAUAAUAUUUCAUCAUUGAUAUAUAAACUAUCAGACUGUGUGGUCGGUAGUAGUGGGUUUCAGUAGGCCUAUUAGAGGCCUACUGGAAUUAGAUGUUCUUAUUUAAACGGAGAUAGCAGGUCCAUUCUGUCAUACUUGAUCAUUUCGCGAUAUUGCUAUAUUUUUGCUUAAAGUAUUUAGUAAAGAACUUCGACGAUAAAGUUUGCAACUUUUGGUGCUGAUAAAAAAGCCUUGCCUGUACCGGAAGUAGCAGACGAUGUGCGCGUGACGUCACGGGUUGUGGAGCUCCUCACAUCCUCACAUUGUUUACAAUCAUGGCCACCAGCAGCGAGAGCGAUUCGGACCGAGGAAGCGAGGAUUUCCCCAUUAAUUCAAGCGAGGUUGCCAUCCAUCCAUUUUCUAAUGCUUAUUCCCUUUUUGGGGUGGCGGGGGGCGCUGGCACCUAUCUCAGCUACAAUCGGGCGGAAGGCGGGGUACACCCUGGACAAGUCGCCACCUCAUUGCAGGGCCAACACAGAUAGACAACAUUCACACUCACAUUUACACACUAGGGCCAAUUUAGUGUUGCCAAUCAACCUAUCCCCAGGUGCAUGUCUUUGGAAGUGGGAGGAAGCCGGAGUACCCGGAGGGAACCCACGCAUUCAUGGGGAGAACAUGCAAACUCCACACUGGAUUUGAACCCAGGACUGCAGGACCUUCGUAUUGUGAGGCAGACGCACUAACCCCUCUGCCACCGUGAAGCCCUCAAGCGAGGAUGAAAGAUUGUCAGAUGAGGAAAGUGAGAGUGAAGGACUACAAAAAAAAGGACAAUACAGUAGAAGCGAUUUAGAUGUUAUUAGACAAAUUUACUAGGAUAAUUCUUGAAAACCCCUUAUCUGUUUAUUGUUAUACUAGUGUUUUAGUGAGAUUAUAUGGUCGUGCCUGUACAACCUGAAGGUCGGCCCCGCAUCUUUCUUCAGCACCAGUCGACGGGUGGUGGCGAUGCCCAUAUCUGCCUUUUGCAAGAGACCCUCUUCAAAACACGAUCUAUCGAAAUGAUCGCUGCAUAAUACUCUGUACUUUGUGUGUGUGGUCCAAUCCAACAGUGUUCGCUUGACAACUCUGUUCCAUAGUAAAGCUACACCGUCAUCUUUCAGGAAUGUAAACAAUGAAACACCGGCUGUGUUUGUGUUGCUAAAGGCGGCCACAAUACACUGUUUCCCACCUACAGCUUUCUUCUUUGACGUCUCCAUUAUUCAUUGAACAAAUUGCAAAAGAGUCAGCAACACAGAUGUCCAUAAUACUGUGGAAUUAUGCGAUGAAAACAGACGAUUUAUAGAUGGGAUCGGUGCUGUAACAAAAUGUCCUCUACAAGCGUGACGUCACGCGCACGCGUCAUCAUACGUUUUAGCAUUGUACUUCCACGCAAAAUUAAAAAUUGCGAUCUAGUAAACUUAAAAAGGCCGUAUUGGCAUGUGUUGCAAUGUUAAGAUUUCAUAAUUUGUAUAUAAACUUUCAGACUUCGUGGUCGGUAGGAGUGGCUUUCAGUAGGCUUUUAGCAUGACUGCAAGAAAAUACAGCUCAGGAUAAAAAAAAAAGUUGUAAUUUACACUGUAAGCCACUAGAGGGCAGUAUCAGACUAUGUAUGGAUUAACUUGUUUGACCACCCUUUAAUUUUGAAGUAUUGUCUUUGGCCUUUUUUAUUUCAAUUCUUGUUAGUAAUUCAAGGAUAAUCCUUAGGUUUUUAAGUUAUAUUCAAUGUCUCAGGCAAAAGAUCCAAGUUUAACCACCGUGGUAUUCUUUUUGUUGUGUAUGCUUGGCGUUUGUCCACAAGCUGCAAAAGAGUGGCUUUAUGUACAUACAGUAUACACUUUAGAUAUGAUAUUCCUAAUUAAAUGUGUAUAAGUUGCAUUAAAAGUGUGCUUACAACAGCUUGUGCUGUUAUUGGUCAAUUUCAUUUAAUACUGAAUACAGAACAUUGUGAUUCAUGCAAUGUUUUUUGGACAAGCGGUAGAAAAUGGAUGAUGGUGACUAUUUUGCUUAGUGUGGUUCUGUCUGGUGAAAUAAAGUGUAUCUACUCACCCUUUGAGAACCUUUGACACUUAAUGCAGUGUUCCUCAACCACUGGUCCAGGGACAGGUGCUCCUUUGUGAUUGAUUGGUUCUUUAAUUAGUAGAUUGCACAGUUCAGUACAUAUUCCGUAGAAUUGACCGCUAAAUGAAUACGUUUUUCAACUUGUUUAAAUCGGGGUCCACGUUUAUCAAUUCAUCUCACUUUAUUGCAGAAUCCAACGUUCAAGUAGACCUACAAAUCUCACAUAGUACAUAAAAUAAAGAAUACAGUAUAAAAGGCAUUAUGUCACAUAAUAUUAAAAUUUGUCUUACCGAGUCGCAUUUUCUCCAACUUAACUUUUGCCUGUCCCACUAGACAUACAAUUGUGAUCAAAAUUAUUCAACCCCCACACAAUUUUGGUGUUUUAGCAAGUUGGACAUUUAUUCUGUAUUUUGUUUAUAGUCAUAUCAAAUAAAGAUGUGUCAAAUAGACAACUUCAAUUGUAACACUGUAUUUUACAAAAUACCAAAAAAGGACAUUUUUCUUAAUAUCUCAUUGACAAAAUGAUUCAACCCCUUAGUUCCAUGCAUCUUUAGUACUUAGUAGAACACCCUUUGGCAGUAAUGACAUCCUUCAAAGGUGAUACCUAAGCUUCUUGCAAGCAUCUACAAGUAUUUUAGCCCAUUCCUCUUGGGCAAAGGCCUCCAGUUCAUUCAUAUUCUUGGACUUGCGUGCUGCAACUGCCUUCUUCAAGUCCCACCACAGCUUUUCUAGAGGAUUUAGGUCUGGGGACUGUGAAGGCCACUCCAGAGUCUUCCAGCCCUUCUUCUGCAACCACUCUGAUGUUGACUUGGAGGUAUGUUUGGGAUCGUUGUCCUGUUAGAAGGUCCAACGUCUCCCAAGCCUCAGCUUCGUCACUGACUUCAUGACAUUUGCAGCUAAUAUAUCCUGCUAGGAAAUAGAAUUCAUAAAGCUGGAGAUUCCCGGUACCUGAGGCAGAGAAACAGCCCCAGAGCAUGAUUGACCCCCCACCAUGCUUAACAGUAGGCAAGGUGUUCUUCUCUUUGUAAGCUUCAUUUUUUUCUCCUCCAGACAACAUUGAUUCAUAGGCCCAAAGAGUUCCACUUUUGGCUCAUCACUCCAUAGAAUCAAUCAAUCAAUCAAUCAAUGUUUAUUUAUAUAGCCCCAAAUCACAAAUGUCUCAAAGGACUGCACAAAUCAUUACGACUACAACAUCCUCGGAAGAACCCACAAAAGGGCAAGGAAAACUCACACCCAGUGGGCAGGGAGAAUUCACAUCCAGUGGGACGCCAGUGACAAUGCUGACUAUGAGAAACCUUGGAGAGGACCUCAGAUGUGGGCAACCCCCCCCCUCUAGGGGACCGAAAGCAAUGGAUGUCGAGCGGGUCUAACAUGAUACUGUGAAAGUUCAAUCCAUAGUGGCUCCAAGACAGCAGUGAGAGUCCCGUCCACAGGAAACCAUCUCAAGCGGAUCAGCAGCGUAGAGAUGUCCCCAACCGAUACAGGCGAGCGGUCCAUCCUGGGUCCCGACGAACGGUCCAUCCUGGGUCUCGACUCUGGACAGUCAGUACUUCAUCCAUGGUCAUCGGACCGGACCCCCUCCACAAGGGAGGGGGGGACAUAGGAGAAAGAAAAGAAGCGGCAGAUCAACUGGUCUAAAAAGGAGGUCUAUUUAAAGGCUAGAGUAUACAGAUGAGUUUUAAGAUGAGACUUAAAUGCUUGAAAAGUUAACAAAACCUUUGAGGUUGGUCCAGAUGAUUUUUGGCAUACUGGAGUCUAUUUUUCUUGUGCCUGGUAGUCAGAAUUGGGGUGCGCCUGGGAGUUCUGGCAUGUAGGCCUUCAUCUCGUAGUGCACGCCUUAUUGUCUGGGACAAAACCUGCGUUCCGCCCUCUGCAAUGUCCGGUUGUAGUUCCUCAGCUUUUACCCGGGGGUUUUUCACCACUGUACACUUCAAAUACCGGACAGCAGUUGCACACAGCAUCCUCUUUCUACCACGCCCAGGUAGUGUUUCCACUGUGCCUUUAGCCUUAAACUUGAGAAUUAUGCUCCCAACUGUGUCUCUUGGAAUGUAUAAUGUAUUUGCUAUUUUCUUAUAUCCAUAUCCUUUCUUAUGAAGAGAAAUGACCUCCUCUUGACUUCUUUGACCACUCCCUGGACUUCACCAUGUUGCAAAUACGCCAUUGAAGAAGCUGAGCGUCACAGUCUUUUUCAAUCAGUUUAAUUAUUGCUCGUUAUGGUUCUAAUCACAUCUACAGGUGUUUUCAACACCUGAUUGAAAAUACCUCAUUCAAAUUCUGUUCUUUAGAGUUAUGAUCUUCAAGGGGUUGAAUAAUUAUGUCAAUGAGAAAUUAAGAGAAAUGACACUGUUUGGUAUGCUACAAAAUAUAAUGUUGUAAUUCAAGUUGCAUUUGUCUAUUUAUCCAUCCAUCCAUUUUCUACCGCUUAUUCCCUUUUGGGGUCACGGGGGGCGCUGGCGCCUAUCUCAGCUACAAUCGGGCGGAAGGCGGGGUACACCCUGGACAAGUCGCCACCUCAUCGCAGGGCCAACACAGAUAGACAGACAACAUUCACACACUAGGGCCCAUUUAGUGUUGCCAAUCAACCUAUCCCCAGGUGCAUGUCUUUGGAAGUGGGAGGAAGCCGGAGUACCCGGAGAAUGCAUCUUUAUUUGAUAUGACUAGAAACAAAAUACGGAAUAAAUGUCCAACUUGCUAAAACACCAAAAUUGUGUGGGGGUUGAAUAAUUUUGAUCACAACUGUAGUAAUAAAAAACCGAGUGUGAAGCGACCGGAAUGAGAAUCAGCACCUCCAAGUCCGAGUCCAUGGUUCUCGCCCGGAAAAGGGUGGAGUGCCAUCUCCGGGUUGGGGAGGAGACCCUGCCCCAAGUGGAGGAGUUUAAGUACCUAGGAGUCUUGUUCACGAGUGGGGGAAGAGUGGAUCGUGAGAUCGACAGGCGGAUCGGUGCGGCGUCUUCAGUAAUGCGGACGUUGUAUCGAUCCGUUGUGGUGAAGAAGGAGCUGAGCCGGAAGGCAAAGCUCUCAAUUUACCGGUCGAUCUACGUUCCCAUCCUCACCUAUGGUCAUGAGCUUUGGGUCAUGACCGAAAGGAUAAGAUCACGGGUACAAGCGGCCCAAAUGAGUUAACAGGUCUCUCCCUUAGAGAUAGGGUGAGAAGCUCUGCCAUCCGGGAGGAACUCAAAGUAAAGCCGCUGCUCCUCCACAUCGAGAGGAGCCAGAUGAGGUGGUUCGGGCAUCUGGUCAGGAUGCCACCCGAACGCCUCCCUAGGGAGGUGUUUAGGGCACGUCCAGCUGGUAGGAGGCCACGGGGAAGACCCAGGACACGUUGGGAAGACUAUGUCUCCCGGCUGGCCUGGGAAAGCCUCGGGAUCCCCCGGGAAGAGCUAGACGAAGUGGCUGGGGAGAGGGAAGUCUGGGUUUCCCUGCUUAGGCUGCUGACCCCGCGACCCGACCUCGGAUAAGCGGAAGAUAAUGGAUGGAUGGAUGGAUAGUAAUAAGCUUCUUUAUAGAUGUAUAAUACAACUCCUGAUAGGAAAUAACCAUUUGUUAUAUCUUCAUUAAAGGGGAGAAUGCACAUUAAUGAACAUAUAAGAUGGAAAUGUGCCAGUUUGUGGCCAAAGGCUCAUUUUUAUCUGCAGAAUGGACCUGGAUAUAUACGACAAGUCCAUAAAAAGUUAACUUUGACACAAACGUUACAAUAAAAUGCACAGACUCGGUCGGAUAUAACAAUAAAAACUAAAAUAGAGAAGCAUAUAAAACAGCAGGUUGCUGCUUGACCUCAGCUCAGGACAGAUCAAGAAAUAAAGUCAUCAUUGUGUUGAAAGUGCUGAAAGAAAAUAAUAAUACACAUCUCCGUUGGCCUAGUAGGUAAAAGUGCACGCACUAUUGAAUUAACAGAUGUGUUUCAUGUAUGCAUGAAAAUGCACCAAAAAGCAUACAAAAGGGCUUCUAUGUAUAAAAUAUUGCAAAAAAAUAUGAAUGCAUAACUUUUGGACUGGAAAUCUAUUUUCUAGUUUUAUUAUCGAGAAACGUGGUUUCCCACACCCGUAGAAACACCCCUCCGACUUUCAGGUACCACCAUAUAUCCAUCCAUUUUCUACCGCUUAUUCCCUUUUGGGGGCGCUGGCGCCUAUCUCAGCUACAGUCGGGCGGAAGGCGGGGUACACCCUGGACAAGUCGCCACCUCAUCGCAGGGCCAACACAGAUAGACAGACAACAUUCACACUCACAUUCACACACUAAUUUUAGUGUUGCCAAUCAACCUAUCCCCAGGUGCAUGUCUUUGGAGGUGGGAGGAAACCGGAGUACCCGGAGGGAACCCACGCAUUCACGGGGAGAACAUGCAAACUCCACACAGAAAGAUCCCGAGCCUGGAUUUGAACCCAGGACUGCAGGACCUUCGUAUUGUGAGGCAGACGCACUAACCCCUCUGCCACCGUGAAGCCCUACCACCAUAUAUUCUCACUAAAACACUAGUAACACAAUAAGCAGAUAAGGUGUUUUCCAGAAUUAUCCUAGUAAAUGUGUCUAAUAACAUCUGAAUCGCUCCCACUGCCCUCGUCUUUUUUUUUCUUUCUAGUCCUUCACGGUCACUUUCCUCAUCCACGAAUCUUUCAUCCUCGCUCAAAUUAAUGGGGAAAUCGUCGCUUUCUCGGUCCGAAACGCUCUUGCUGCUGGUGGCCAUGAUUGUAAAUAAUGUGAGGAGCUCCACAACCGGUGACGUCACGCGCACAUCGUCUGCUACUUCCGGUACAGGCAAGGUUUUUUUUUAUUAGCGACCAAAAGUUGCGAACUUUAUCGUCGAUGUUCUCUACUAAAUCCUUUCAUCAAAAAUAAGGCAAUAUCGCAAAAUGUUCACGUAGGAGACAUAGAAUGGACCUGUUAUCCCCGUUUAAAUAAGAAAAUCUAAUUUCAGUAGGCCUUUUAAAAAGGGUUGGCUGAACAGCUAUUAAGGUACGGCGCAAUCGGCGCCCAUGUUAACUACCGAACCAUAACUUAAAAGGGUUGGCUGAACGACUAUAAGGACUAAAAGGCAGACUGCUUUUCCACUUAUUACAGAUAAUUCAUUAAGGAUUCAGCUUUUUGUAGUUUUACAUUUAAUCAUGUGGUGUUUUCUGCCGAGGCAUUCCCUGAUGUCUUCAAAAAUUUCUCAAACCAAUUAGUUUGAAUGAUCAAAAAAGUCAUGAAAUUUCAAAGUCCAAGGCUUUUGUUUUUAUUCAAAUUUGUCAGUUUUCUUUACUGGCAGAGACUUAUUGGAUAGCCAAUCAAAAUUGCCCGUCAAUGGUAAAUCUUGUAUGUAAUAUCACUUCUUAGCAGCACUUUGCUUCUAACUGUUGCUUUGACAUGUUUAUUAUCUGGGAGACUGACACAGGCAUUUAGGAUCCAUACACCAUCCUGAAUCACGGAAACAACUAAAAUGUUUUUUUCUCACACACACACACACACACACACCACGUACAUGUGAGAGACAACAAUUUUAGUAGUAUGUGUGCAAGGAUUUCAGUAAUGUGAGAGCAUUUUAGUAGUGUGUGAGAGCUUUUCAGUGGUGUGUGUGAGAGCUUUUCAGUAGUGCGGUGGUUCUCAAAUGGGGGUACGCGUACCCCUGGGGUUACUUGAAAGUAUGCCAAGGGGUACGUGAGAUUUUCAAAAAUAUUAAAUUAGUAAAAUAACACAAGUUGUGCGAGUUUAUAUUAAUUCAUCAAAAUGCCUUCAAAGAGUUGAAGUAUUUUUGUUUAGGGCUGUAUUUAAUUAGGAAAUGUGAGCAAAGAAAAUAUGAAUCCAAAAUGUUUUUAUGUUUAAGAACUCUGGAUUUUUUGAAAGUGUCAAAAAGUUGGGCUUUUUUUCAAAGUGUCAAAGUGGGGAUUUUUUGGUCCAAAAAAUGCCAAGGGCUACGUGAGAUUUUUCUAAAAUAUUCUAAAAAAUAGCAACAAUUCAAAAAUCCUUAAAUAUAUUUAUUGAAAAAUACUUCCAGAAAAUAUGGAUGUAAGUUCAUAAAAUGUGAAAAGAAAUGCAACAAUACAAUUUUCAGUGUUGACAGCUCGAUUUUUUUGUGGACAAGUUCCAUAAAUAUUGAUGUUAAAGAUUUAUUUUCUUGUGAAGAAAUGUUUAGUUGAUGAAUCCAGAUGGAUCUAUUACAAUCUCCAAAGAGGGCACUUUAAGUUGAUGAUUACUUCUAUGUGUAGAAAUCUUUAUUUAUAAUUGAAUCCCUUGUUUAUCUUUCAUCAAGUUUUUUGUUAUUUUUAUAUCUUUAUUUUUUUUUUCAAAUACUUCAAGAAAGACCACUACAAAUUAGCAAUAUUUUGCACUGUUAUACAAUUUAAUACAUCAAACGGAUGACAUAGUGCUAUUUUAUUUCGUUAUCCCUUUUAUUCAACCAAAAGUGCUUUGCUCCAAUUAGGGGGUACUUGAAUUAAAAAAAUGUUCACAGGGAAAUCACUGAAAAAGGUUGAGAACCACUGCAAUAGUAUGUGAGAGCUUUUCAGUAGUUUAUGUGAGAGCUUUUCAGUAGUGUAUGUGAGAGCUUUUCAGUAGUGUAUGUGAGUGCAUUUCAGUAGUGUAUGUGAGAGCUUUUCAGUAGUGUAUGUGAGUGCAUUUCAGUAGUGUGUAUAAGAGGUGUUUCAGUUGUGUGUGUGUGUGAGAGAGAGAAAAACAUUUCAGUUUUUAUGUGAGAGCAUUUCAGUAGUGUAUGGAAGAGGUCAUUCUAAAUGUCCCUAUUUGGCCCCCCAUACUAUCUGAGCCCUUUGUCUUCAUAAUAAAGUUACUCUGAGAAACA